rnacentral:misc_RNA from 1 species
GAUGAAGAACGUAGCGAAAUGCGAUAAGUAAUGUGAAUUGCAGAAUUCAGUGAAUCAUCGAAUAUUUGAACGCACAUUGUGCCCCCUGGUAUUCCGGGGGGCAUGCCUGUCCGAGCGUCAUUACAACCCUCAAGCUCAGCUUGGUGUUGGGCCCCGCCGCCCCGGCGGGCCCUAAAGUCAGUGGCGGUGCCGUCCGGCUCCGAGCGUAGUAAUUCUUCUCGCUCUGGAGGUCCGGUCGUGUGCUCGCCAGCAACCCCCAAUUUUUUUCAGGUUGACCUCGGAUCAGGUAGGGAUACCCGCUGAACUUAAGCAUAUCAAUAAGCGGAGGA